AGUGUAGGCGGUUACUUAAGUCGGAUGUGAAAGCCCUGGGCUCAACCUGGGAAUGGCAUUCGAUACUGGGUAACUAGAGUUUGGUAGAGGUAAGUGGAAUUCCGGGUGUAGCGGUGAAAUGCGUAGAUAUCCGGAGGAACAUCAGUGGCGAAGGCGGCUUACUGGACCAAAACUGACGCUGAGGCUCGAAAGCGUGGGGAGCAAACAGGAUUGGAUACCCUGGUAGUC
rnacentral:rRNA from 1 species